GCGGGAGUGCGUUCGGGUAUGGGAAUGGCAGCGAUAAGCGGCGAGUGCUCCACAUAGGCCUUAUCUAAUGUACACUAAUAGUUAACAGCACUUAUCUAUCGGACUGAUAAUGGUAAUAAUAAUGCUCCCCGCGCCGUGAGAACACCGCAAUCCCGGCUGUUUGCUGGUUGUUUCUUUCGGCGCUUCGGUGUCGUUCGUUUCGGAUAAGCGGAGCCCCAUUGACAACCGCCAUAUCGAGGUGUACUACGAGUGCAGUGCUGUUAGAUAAAGCCGCGACUCUCCCGAUUUUGGUGGACCUCGAAUCGCCCACACACUUUGUGGCUAACGAUUAACCAUGACAGCUGCGAAUGGAUUCAGUUUUAUUACAUUUUUGGCAUCCAAAUACCCAAGUAUCUGGGUUAUCAAUCGAAAUUUGCAAUAACUAUAAACGAGAUUUUAAUAAAUAGAUCAUAUGUAAUCGAA
rnacentral:sRNA from 1 species